rnacentral:rRNA from 1 species
UGCUGGAGGUAUCAGAAGUGCGAAUGCUGACAUAAGUAACGAUAAAGCGGGUGAAAAGCCCGCUCGCCGGAAGACCAAGGGUUCCUGUCCAACGUUAAUCGGGGCAGGGUGAGUCGACCCCUAAGGCGAGGCCGAAAGGCGUAGUCGAUGGGAAACAGGUUAAUAUUCCUGUACUUGGUGUUACUGCGAAGGGGGGACGGAGAAGGCUAUGUUAGCCGGGCGACGGUUGUCCCGGUUUAAGCAUGUAGGCGGAGGUUCCAGGUAAAUCCGGUACCUUUUAACGCUGAGGUGUGAUGACGAGGCACUACGGUGCUGAAGUAACAAAUGCCCUGCUUCCAGGAAAAGCCUCUAAGCAUCAGGUAACAUCAAAUCGUACCCCAAACCGACACAGGUGGUCAGGUAGAGAAUACCAAGGCGCUUGAGAGAACUCGGGUGAAGGAACUAGGCAAAAUGGUGCCGUAACUUCGGGAGAAGGCACGCUGGUGUGUAGGUGAAGUCCCUGCGGACGGAGCUGAGACCAGUCGAAGAUACCAGCUGGCUGCAACUGUUUAUUAAAAACACAGCACUGUGCAAACACGAAAGUGGACGUAUACGGUGUGACGCCUGCCCGGUGCCGGAAGGUUAAUUGAUGGGGUUAUCCGUAAGGAGAAGCUCUUGAUCGAAGCCCCGGUAAACGGCGGCCGUAACUAUAACGGUCCUAAGGUAGCGAAAUUCCUUGUCGGGUAAGUUCCGACCUGCACGAAUGGCGUAAUGAUGGCCAGGCUGUCUCCACCCGAGACUCAGUGAAAUUGAACUCGCUGUGAAGAUGCAGUGUACCCGCGGCAAGACGGAAAGACCCCGUGAACCUUUACUAUAGCUUGACACUGAACAUUGAGCCUUGAUGUGUAGGAUAGGUGGGAGGCUUUGAAGCGUGGACGCCAGUCUGCGUGGAGCCAACCUUGAAAUACCACCCUUUAAUGUUUGAUGUUCUAACGUAGGCCCCUGACCGGGGUUGCGGACAGUGUCUGGUGGGUAGUUUGACUGGGGCGGUCUCCUCCCAAAGAGUAACGGAGGAGCACGAAGGUUAGCUAAUCCUGGUCGGACAUCAGGAGGUUAGUGCAAUGGCAUAAGCUAGCUUGACUGCGAGCGUGACGGCGCGAGCAGGUGCGAAAGCAGGUCAUAGUGAUCCGGUGGUUCUGAAUGGAAGGGCCAUCGCUCAACGGAUAAAAGGUACUCCGGGGAUAACAGGCUGAUACCGCCCAAGAGUUCAUAUCGACGGCGGUGUUUGGCACCUCGAUGUCGGCUCAUCACAUCCUGGGGCUGAAGUAGGUCCCAAGGGUAUGGCUGUUCGCCAUUUAAAGUGGUACGCGAGCUGGGUUUAGAACGUCGUGAGACAGUUCGGUCCCUAUCUGCCGUGGGCGCUGGAGAAUUGAGGGGGGCUGCUCCUAGUACGAGAGGACCGGAGUGGACGCAUCACUGGUGUUCGGGUUGUCAUGCCAAUGGCACUGCCCGGUAGCUAAAUGCGGAAGAGAUAAGUGCUGAAAGCAUCUAAGCACGAAACUUGCCCCGAGAUGAGUUCUCCCUGAGACUAUAAGUCUCCUGAAGGAACGUUGAAGACGACGACGUUGAUAGGCCGGGUGUGUAAGCGCAGCGAUGCGUUGAGCUAACCGGUACUAAUGAACCGUGAGGCUUAACCUU